CACGUAGGGGCCAAGCGUUGUCCGGAUUUAUUGGGCGUAAAGAGCUCGUAGGCGGCUCGGUAAGUCGGGUGUGAAACCUCCAGGCUCAACCUGGAGACGCCACCUGAUACUGCUGUGGCUAGAGUCCGGUAGGGGAGCGUGGAAUUCCUGGUGUAGCGGUGAAAUGCGCAGAUAUCAGGAGGAACACCAGCGGCGAAGGCGGCGCUCUGGGCCGGAACUGACGCUGAGGAGCGAAAGCGUGGGGAGCAAACAGG
rnacentral:rRNA from 1 species